ACAUCUUUAUGAUGAUGGCUCAAUUGAUUAAGAAGCUCUGUCCUAUCAUAAUCUUCAAACUUGCGUUUCUUUUUGUGGUUCUCUUCUUAAUAGAAGUGGCAGCAGCAAGGGUACCUAAUUGGUCAUUUGAGCAUCAUCAUCAACACGGGAGAGUACUAUUAGGUGGUGAUUGUGGUGACGUCCCAGAAGGAGGCAAUUAUCAUUGUCAUCCUGGACGCGGUCGUUAAUUUCAGUUGAUAUCAAAUGGAUAAAGCUCAAAAGCUGGAAGGAUCAUAAGGAAUCUUAAGAUGCUAUAAGUGUGAUAUAUAUUAAGAUUUUAAUUAAGUCGUUUUUGAUUAUUUU